rnacentral:rRNA from 1 species
CCAAUAGCGUAUAUUAAAGUUGUUGCAGUUAAAAAGCUCGUAGUUGAAUUUCGGGGUUCUACCGUUGGUCGGGCUAACCAGUCUGUACUAGCGUGUAGAAUUCCUACCUUCUGGGGAACCAUCAUGUUAUUAAUUUAGCGUGGUGGGAAACCAGGACCUUUACCUUGAAAAAAUUAGAGUGUUCAAAGCAGGCUUACGUCUGAAUACAUUAGCAUGGAAUAAUAGAAUAGGACGGUGGUCCUGUUUUGUUGGUUUCUGAAUCACCGUAAUGAUUAAUAGGGAUAGUUGGGGGCAUUAGUAUUCAAUUGUCAGAGGUGAAAUUCUUGGAUUUAUUGAAGACUAACUUCUGCGAAAGCAUUUGCCAAGGAUGUUUUCAUUAAUCAAGAACGAAAGUUAGGGGAUCGAAGACGAUCAGAUACCGUCGUAGUCUUAACCAUAAACUAUGCCGACUAGGGAUCGGACGAUGUUAAAUUUUAUUGACUCGUUCGGCGCCUUACG